CGUCGGCUUCCCCGCGACGGUUAGCUGUGAACCCCGUCAGGCCCGGAAGGGAGCAGCGGUAGUAGUGAUACCGGGUGCCGGGGAACAGCUGGCGCGA
rnacentral:SRP_RNA from 1 species